AAGCCAUUGGCCAUACAGUUUGUAAGUAAUGUGUUCCUCUGUGUGUUUAUUUGGGUCAUUUGGCUGCAGGAGGCAGGUGGGACAGAUUCCUCCUGACAGCAGGUCAGGCAGGACUGGAGAAACUUCAGACAACAAGAAGCAGGCCUUACCAAGUUCUGGAGUCCACCCAGACAGGCACUCACCGCGAGAUUUUGGUCUUCUCACUCAGCUCCGUACACUUGUACAAGGCCUCACUAAUUUCCUUAGGUAAUUUCAUCACAUCUGCCAUAUCCAUCUUAUGCUCUGUGUUCUGCAUCUCAUGAUCAGAAUUCAGCCUGUGGUUAAACUCA